UACCAAUCAAUUGUCACUUUCAUGAAUUCAUCGGUGACAUACAAAAGGAAACCCGCACUUUAAGCACUCUAGCCUUCUCCACGCGUUUACGCGAGUACAGAAGACAUUUUUUUAAUCACGGCACGCGACUUAUACGUUUUAAAUGUAAUAUGCGUUAAUUGACAAAAGGAAAGUCAAAUAUUUGAAGUAAAUGAAUAAUCUUAAAUCAUGCUAGAAAAAACCCCUCACAAAUCAAUCAAAGCAGCUGAAUUCACAUAAUAAAAUCGAUUUUUCAAUUUCCAUCUACAUUCUAUUGAAUUUACAUUAAGUAUAGAGAAAAUAAUAUUUAAUAAAUAACUUAUUGAAUCACAUUAUUGCUAACCUAUUAUGAGCUAAGCCCACUCCCCUCCCCCUUAGUGUAGAUAAUAUCGUCUAUUAAAAAAAAAAAACCUCACACACUAAUCAAAGCAACUGAAUUCACAUAAUAAAAUCAGUCUUUCAAUUUCCAUAUACAUUCUAUUGAAUUUACAUUAAGAAUAGAGAAACUAAUAUUUAAUAAACAACUAAUUAAAUCACAUCAUUACUAGUCAAUUGUGAGGUUAAGUCCACCCUCCCCCUGCGAAAGACUUUUUUUAUAACCAGAAUUACACGCCUCUUAAGAUGUUUGUUAAAAAAAAACAAUCAUUUGACAACUAAUUUAAUCACAUUAUUAUGCGCGUGCGAAAUACCUUUUUUAUAGCCGGAAUUACACUCCUCUUAAGAUGUUUUGAACGUGUUUAAAAAUAGAGAAAAUAAUAUUUAAUGAACUACUGAUUGAAUCAUAUUAUUAUUUUUAACGUGUUUAAAAAUAGAGAAAAUAAUAUUUAAUGAACAACUAAUUGAAUCACAUUAUUGCUCACAUAUUGUGAGGUACUAAUAUAUAUAUAUAUAAUUAAAUAAAAUAAAAAACUGUACAAAAAGAAUUUAUUAAAAAUAUUAAAAUGAUGAAAAUACCCUUGUGCAUUAUUUUGGGUUGCUUUUGAAAUUUUUUGUUUUAGGGACAUUUUUGUCCAAAACUUUUUUGUCCAAAAUUUUUUAGUGAAGCUUGUGAUUCCAAAAGAGGUUGUUAGCUUUAUAUAUAUAAAGAUAAAAAUCAUAUACAAAUUAGGAGAAACGCAAUAGAGAUUCCAUCAAAAGUAUAACUCAUUAUGAAUUAUUUAUCACCUCAUUUGAUACAAUAUUUUAUAAUAUUACACAUAAAGUAAUGUUAAAUUCAAAGUUAACAGAAAAUAAAUAGUUCAACUUUAAAAAUCUCAUUAACAUUUAUCUUCGUAUUACAUACCAAAACUAGAAGAAGAUAUAAAACGUAUGAUUGGUAUAAAUUUGGUUGUACAGAUAUUACCAAAUUAACAAUGACAUGUGACGGUGGUUAUUAAACCUAUCUAUAUGUCUGUCUCAGUGUGACUGGGAAUCUCGUGUGACUGAUAGUGUCACUUCCAGUUUUCCAAUAUCAAUUCCAUGUCCCCAACUUCCCAGCAAUUAGAGCAUCUCAAAUGUGGAACGCCCAAAUCAUUAACACUGAGGACUCAUUUAAAAUUUUUAAAAGAAUAUCUUGAGUUCCUAAAAAAAAAAUAUUGUCUGCAAUGAGAAGUCUUUAAAAUAUAACUUUUAUUGUAGAGACUUAAAAUAUUAAAAAAAUUAUUUUUCAUUUCGUUGAAGUAUUGUGGCAAUUGAAAAAAACAAAAAUGUUAUCUCUACCGUUAAUUUUUCAACGGUUCAAAAAAAGGAAGACGCAGGAAACAACCAAAAUGAGAAGUUGUUGCAUAGCAUUCCAAUGUGGGUUGGUUCAAAAGCAACAAAGAAACAAAAAAGAGCAGUUGUUGUGUAGCAUUUCCACGUUGGUGCCUAAGUUGGUGGGAUUCUUUCCCACUCAAAAUCAACUUAUAUACGGUCCUCAGGAUUUUUUUGAGAUAUCUGACUAAGUCUUCUAUAUAUUGAGAUACUGUGAUGACUUCUAGUUCGACCUAUUGUAAGCCCUUUGCCCAUAUAUUUAGAGACCAAUGGUUGUAGGGGCUCAAAGAGUAGCUACAUGUUAUAUAUCAUCUAGAGAUGCUCUUACAACUUUCGUUAAGCUACGUGUUAUAUAUCAUUCUGUGUACUUUUUCUUGGAUAAUACUUGUGUUUCUCUUUGGGGAAUGCACGUAUCUCAUCUCUUUCGAAAAACUUAUAUUUAACAUUAAAUUUUAUAAUCGGAACUGUUCAGUUUCUUAAUCUUCAUUUUCCCUAAAAUUAUUAGAAUAUGAAAUCGUUUAGUUAUCCAAAUAUAUAAAACAAAUUGACAGGUGAGUAAUAAGUAACAUACUCAUGAUGAACCAUUAUUUAAUACAUUAGAAUGACUAAACAAUCUUCGAUUCGAGUAAUUUUUUAAUAGGAAUAAUCUUCAAAUAAAAAUUAAAAAUCUAAAUAAUUCUGACAAUGGAGUUUAUACAGUAAGGAUACGUUAUUAGCAAAAUGUGGAAUAUGUACAUUCCCCUAUGGGGGAAUAAUUAAAUCUUUCUUUUUAUUAUAUGAUUACUUUUCACUUGAUAAGACCAUCUCCAACCCUGGGCUAAAAGCCAAAUUACCCCCCAAAUUACCCUCCCCAAACACUCUCCAACCCAUGCUAAAAUUUUAGGCUAAAUGUCAAAUGCUAUUUCUGGGCCAAAUACCCCUCAGCUUUCCCCCCGGGCUAAAUGCGAAAUGUUUAUCGGAAUUUAAAUUUUUUUAGAUUAAAAUGUUCAUAAAAUUAAUUUACAAUAAUCUACAUAUUUUUUUUUUUUAAAUUGAUUUAAGAAAAAAAUUUAGGCUAAUUUCAUUCUUUAAUAAUUCCGGGCUAAAAUUUUAAGGUAGAAGGGUUGAAGCAGAAAAGAUGUUUCUGUGCUAAAAUCUAAAUUUUCCGGGCUAAAAAAUUUGACUUUUAGCCCAAGGGUUGGAGAUGGUCUAAGAGAGAUAAAUGUAAAGAAGUUCGUGAUCCAUUGUAGGUAAAUUUUUCCCAUCACCUUCAACUAUGAGAGUAUUUUUCUUGUCACCAAUUCAUUUCGUGUCAAAGUGUUUAUUAUUGAUAGAUAGUUCAUAUUUUGAAAAUGUGAAAAAUAUCUAUUAAACUAGUGAUACAUUAGGACCAUAUCUUCGUUGUAAGAUUAUUAUUAUUUUAGAUAAACGAUAGUAGUAGAUUGACAGAGUCCCAGGAAAGCCUAGAGUCACAGUACAUAAUGGUUACAUUGCAUCCUCCACAAGGAGAUCAAUAAUGCAACAAGGAGGCUGGUCAAUCUAAUCUAAACGACUUCCAUUAUUUAGACUGAACCUAGCUAACCUAUGAGCAACAAUGUUGGCUUGUAGGUGGAAAUGGGCAAAAAGAUCUUCAGUGAUUGCAGUGAGCAAACUCUUCAAAUUUUUAAUAAUGGGAUGUGAUAUCCACACACCCCUUUUUAUUUCAUACACACCCUCUUAAUUUGUGGCAGUCGGAUCGACUGAAUUAAAGAAGAUCAAAUGGCAGAAAUUAACAAAGGGUGUGUGGGAAGUAAAAAUGAGUGUGUGAAUAGCAUCAAAUGUGUUAAUAAUAAAGUAAAAAUGAGUGUGUGAAUAGCACAUUCCUUAAUAAUAUGCCCGAUAGAAGACACAUUAGUUGAAGAAUCGUUAAAAGCAUCUACAAUCUGAAGAGAAUCACCUUUCAUAAUAAAAUUCCGAAAGCCCCUUAUGCUGCCCAAACCACACUCACUAGCUGCCAAAGCGUCCCUCCUUAACAACCUCUCCUCACCACACACCAAAAUGUCUUUCUCCUUGACCUUUGCUUUAUGUGAUAUAGUAAAUUUGUGACCGACCUACGGGCUGCAACAGCUGCUAGGAGACUACUUCAGUCCUACUUGGCAAUCCCACAAUGCUCUUGGAUUGAUCAUGAAGGCUUGUUUACCUGAGAAUGAAUCUCAAAUUAACGAGAGAUGAGUUAAGAAUUUUGCAUAAGCUUAUAAGUAAGUUGGGCUACUUCAUAUAUAUUGACAAUUUAUUUACAAUAGAAUCUCAACUUUUUCAUGGUAUCAGAGCAGAUUGUCCCGCAUGUGAAGCACAAUUGUCACAUGUGCUCCAUAUCAUCCCAUUUGUGUUGUCCGCGUGAGGGGGUAUGUGAGAAUGAAUCUCACAUUGAUGAGAAAAUAGAUCUUGCAUGAGUUUAAAAGUAAGUUGAGUUACUUUCCAUAUUACCAAUUAUUUUGUUGUGGAAUCUUAACUUUUUUCAGUUUAAUAACCAUUUUGGCUUUAAUGAGUUUAGUUGUUACAGUUUAUGCUUGAAAUACGAAGAAAUGAAUGAAUAAAGAAGGAUGAUUGGAAAAAAUGAAAGGAAUAAAGAAUAAUGAAUGAAAUUAAAAACAACUUAAAGUAAUUAUUUUGUUGUUGAUUCUUAGUUUUUUUUAUUACUUUUCCUUGUAUAUUUUGCUCUACAUCUCUACAACCAUCUUGUCUUCACUCUUUUACAUUCUUUAUUUCACCCAACUUGGAAUAAAAAAAACGAAAUUCAACUGCACCCAUAGCUUGUGCCAAGAUUUUCCAAGCUAUAGCAAGAAAAACUUGUGCGUCCAAAAAGUAAAGUUAGGUCAUUAAUCGAUUACAUUGAAUUUGCAUGGCAGAAACCAACACCAUCAAUGAAUUUCACAAGUUAGGAUUGAGAAUUAGGUGACGCAGACACAAAAUGCGUGACUUUAUGAAUGCUUCCAAAAUUAUAAUUAUUCAUCUUUUUAUUAAAAAAAUCAUUUCAUAGAUACCAUCUUUGGUAGAGUCAGAACUUUCAAAUAAUUGGGUCAAUGGAUUUAUCCAAAAAAACUUCAUUAUGUUGUAGUCUUAUUAGAUUAAGAAUAUAAUUGUGUAAAUCCUAAUGUAUCUAAGAAUAUCUCUUAUAUUCCUAUUAGGAGUUGAUUACAUAUUAAGAGUUGUAACCCUAAAAGGGUAAAUAUUUUACAUAUCCUACUACUAUAAAUAAAGGCACAAUGAGGGUGGAAUAACACACCUCACAAUUACACAUCUCUCUACUUCUCUCUCUAUGCUGCACCUUCCUUCUCGCUAUGGCCUCCAUAAUUGUUCAGUAAAUUAUGCCUACAACAUGUUAUCAGUACGCUCUUAACGUUGUGCUAACAAGAGUUUGAUCUUCAAUCAGGAGAGUAUUACGUUUUAAUCAUUCUUUUUAUGAUUAAUUAAUUAUUUUAUUGAAUUGAUAUACAUGCUAUUGAUUCAAUUUAAUUUUUCUGUGUUGAACAUGAUACAACACAUUAGAAAUGCAAUUUCGGCUUUCCGAGAAGGAUCUUCUACAAAUUCAAAGGUUUUUGUUGUUUUCUGCCAAUCAUGUACGCUUAAAAUAAAGGAAGAUAUUUGAAACAUCUACAAAGCAUGAAAACAUUCCCCAUGAUGUAUGAACCCCUCUAUGUUUAUAUUCUCCUUAUGAUAUAUAUAUAUAUAUAUAUAUUGUAUAUGUUCGUAUAUUUGUCAAUAUAUAUAUAUAUAUAUAUAUAUAUAUAUUUGUUUCAUGCAUUACGCAAUUAUAUUGCUAUGUGGAAUUUGUGAGUCAAUGUAUAUAAAAUAAAUUAGAAGCAAAUCUAGGGUUUGUAAAACCUUACCCAUGUCAGGAAAAAAAAAAGGAAAAUUGGACAUGGUGCGACACGCCCACCUCACCACCACUGUGCACCACCUCGAACGGAUCACAGCAGCACAUUGGGCUCGCUGUCCUUGCACCAUUACUAGGCCUUGGCCUAGAUUGGACUACAUUGUGGGCCCCAAGACCCCAGACCUGACCCGUAUGCCUGCAUCCAUGAUGGGCUUUCGUCCCACCUACCCCGACAUGUAUGUCGUAGCCUUCUUGGUUGUUGGGCUUAUACCAUAGCCCAUUAGACUCGCCUUUAGCCUCGGCUGGGCCUCAUGUGACCUAAACCCACAAACCAGCUUCGCUGGGCUUGCUUCCUAUG
rnacentral:lncRNA from 1 species